GCGCUAAUAGAUGAGCCUAAGUCAGAUUAGCUAGUUGGUGGGGUAAAGGCCUACCAAGGCGACGAUCUGUAGCGGGUCUGAGAGGAUGAUCCGCCACACUGGGACUGAGACACGGCCCAGACUCCUACGGGAGGCAGCAGUGGGGAAUAUUGGACAAUGGGCGAAAGCCUGAUCCAGCCAUGCCGCGUGUGUGAAGAAGGCCUUUUGGUUGUAAAGCACUUUAAGCGAGGAGGAGGCUACCGAGAUUAAUACUCUAGGAUAGUGGACGUUACCCGCAGAAUAAGCACCGGCUAACUCUGUGCCAGCAGCCGCGGUAAUACAGAGGGUGCGAGCGUUAAUCGGAUUUACUGGGCGUAAAGCGUGCGUAGGCGGCUUUUUAAGUCGGAUGUGAAAUCCCUGAGCUUAACUUAGGAAUUGCAUUCGAUACUGGGAAGCUAGAGUAUGGGAGAGGAUGGUAGAAUUCCAGGUGUAGCGGUGAAAUGCGUAGAGAU
rnacentral:rRNA from 1 species